CAGUCGUACGCUUCUUUUUCCACCGGAGCUUGCUCCACCGGAAAAAGAGGAGUGGCGAACGGGUGAGUAACACGUGGGUAACCUGCCCAUCAGAAGGGGAUAACACUUGGAAACAGGUGCUAAUACCGUAUAACAAUCGAAACCGCAUGGUUUUGAUUUGAAAGGCGCUUUCGGGUGUCACUGAUGGAUGGACCCGCGGUGCAUUAGCUAGUUGGUGAGGUAACGGCUCACCAAGGCCACGAUGCAUAGCCGACCUGAGAGGGUGAUCGGCCACAUUGGGACUGAGACACGGCCCAAACUCCUACGGGAGGCAGCAGUAGGGAAUCUUCGGCAAUGGACGAAAGUCUGACCGAGCAACGCCGCGUGAGUGAAGAAGGUUUUCGGAUCGUAAAACUCUGUUGUUAGAGAAGAACAAGGAUGUGAGUAACUGUUCAUCCCUUGACGGUAUCUAACCAGAAAGCCACGGCUAACUACGUGCCAGCAGCCGCGGUAAUACGUAGGUGGCAAGCGUUGUCCGGAUUUAUUGGGCGUAAAGCGAGCGCAGGCGGUUUCUUAAGUCUGAUGUGAAAGCCCCCGGCUCAACCGGGGAGGGUCAUUGGAAACUGGGAGACUUGAGUGCAGAAGAGGGGAGUGGAAUUCCAUGUGUAGCGGUGAAAUGCGUAGAUAUAUGGAGGAACACCAGUGGCGAAGGCGGCUCUCUGGUCUGUAACUGACGCUGAGGCUCGAAAGCGUGGGGA
rnacentral:rRNA from 1 species